rnacentral:lncRNA from 1 species
UACGGCACUCUCUCUUUUCAACUCUGACCUAAGGAGUAAGUGAAUCCAUAGCAGGUGCUUUAAUAUAUUUUUGCAAGGGUUGAGCCAAAACCUUAAUUUAAUGUGUUUGAAGGUGGACCUAAGAUGCCAACACAACACGCGGAAUUCAUCCUAAAAAAAAAGGCAUUUUUCAUGUAUGUCAUUCUCAAGAGGCAAAGCUUUUCAAAGAACAGAAAGUCCAGAUCUGCUGAUGUACACAUCAAUGAAGGAUUGUGUCUCUACAUCACCCUGAAACAUACACAUCAUCACCUGCUCAUGUGUGCUGAGGCUAUGCGGUACCGAGAUGUAGCACCAGAAACCAGCAAUAAACUGCAGACUCUUUUUGAAAGUGGCCACUCUCCCUCUUCUGCUCUUACCACACUAAAAUACGACGUUCAGGAAGAGAUGGGUGACUCAUACGCCUUUGCAGCUGCUGAUCACUCCAUUUGUCCAGAUCUAAGUUUCUGUUUUAGGUAAGUAAUAGUAAAACAUACAAUUGAAUGUGAUCACUAUUAUUAAGUGAAAGAUUCUGUGAAAAUUGUGGUAAUGUACGUGAUAUAAUGUACUAAAUCCUGUGUAUAAUUGUAAUUUCAGGCUUUAUUACAAAAUUUUCCAGUGGUCGUACG